rnacentral:misc_RNA from 1 species
AGCUGGAUCAUUUCGAGAGUUACCUUGACUCAAUCGUGAACUGAUAUCAAAUUCCCGCGAGGCGAGUUUCCGCAACGCGGGUCAGACAACUCAUGACGGUGGAUGACUCGGCUUUCCAUUCGAUGAAGGACGCGGCAACAUGCGAUAACUCGUAUGAAUUGCAGAAUUAUGCAUUAUCAAACCUUCGAAUGCACUUUGCGUGCUGGCUCUUUAGCCCCGGCACGUCCAGGAUUCAGUGCUUAUAACUGGUUUGGGGACACAUUAGGCCCACAAAAUUUAUGGUUUCAUACCUAACAAUUCUUCACGGCCUGAGUUCUGGGGGACCACCCGCCGAACUUAAGCAUAUCAUUAAGCGGAGGAAAAGAAAACAACUGUGAUUCCCGUAGUAGCGGCGAGCGAACUGGGAAAAGUCCAAUCCGAAUCUUAGGAAUUGUGGUGUAAGUUGGAGCUUGUUUAUCUCAGCCUCGGAAAAGUUUUCCUGGAAAGGAGUGCCACAGAGGGUUAUAGCCCCGUGCUCCGAGAUCCUGGGAGAUAAACCUUGCUUCUGCCCGAGUAGUACUGCUUGGGAAUGCAGUGCGAACGGCAGGUAUGCCUCUGUCAAGGCUAAAUAUCAUGGGAAGACCGAUAGCGCACAAGUAGCGUGAGCGAAAGUUGAAAAGCACUUUGGAGAGAGAGUGAAAUAGUACCUGAAGCCGUCAUGAGGUAAGGGAUGGAUCACUAUCCAAGACACAUUGACGCUUUGUUUCUCGGAACGAAGUCUCUCUGUGUGUCACGCCCGCCGUUGUCUUGAUGUCUAGCUUCCGGUUGCAUCCCUUCGGGGCCGCCUCUGGUCGAACUCGAACGGAUGGACAAUUUUCCUCGUGCAGGAUAAAUUGUGGAAACAGAGUCGUACAGUGCCGACAGGAUAGUGGCUUGCCAUGAUUCUUCAAGUGCUGGAAAGCUCUUCUACCAUUCUAUUUACCUGCAUAGGUGGGCUUUGAGACGGCAUUCGUGCCGCGAUGGGAUUCAUCCGCCCGUCUUGAAACACGGACCAAGGAGUCUAACAAGUGUGCGAGUGUUAUGAUGACAGAAAUCAUGACGCGGACUGAAAGGGAAGUGCCAUUCGGUGGCAUAUGGUGCCAAGGCUUGUCCCAUGGGAUUCGCCUGCAGCGCCCGCCGGACUUUGGCAAUCGGCCGGAGUUCUGAGCGUUAGCACACAUGUUGGGACCCGAAAGGUGGUGACCUAUGCCUGAACAGGACGAAGCCGAGGGAAACCUGGGUGGAGGUCCGUAGCGAUGUUGACGUGCAAAUCGCUCGCCAGAUUUGGGUAUAGGGGCGAAAGACUCAUCGAACCACCUAGUAGCUGGUUCACCC